CUCCUCAUGCUGAUCAUCCCCAUGUAAGCCUUUCAUCACGAUUUUUUGUAUAGAACGCUAGAUCAUGGUUUGACUUUUUCGACGUCCCUGAUUUAAUCUGGAAUCUGAUCAGACGCUCCGGAUUAAUCCAACUUCAACGCUUGAUCUAGGACGAUCUAGGCCAAACCAGACUUAGCUCCAGGUGAUUGACGGUUUGAGUUGGUGGACGAUUGUGGAUCGUAUUUUGAGCUGAAUUUAAGACGCAGCGGGAUUAUCGAGCGGGUAAUCCUACAGGACAGGAGAACCAGGACGGUGAUCGCGCGGUUAGAGCAAUUGUUAGAGUUUUACAACAAUUGUAAGUUGUGAGGUGUGUUAUGCUCAUUUGAGCUUUAUAAUAUAUUGUGAGAGUGAAUUGUAAUAAUGAACUCGAAGUUUCGAGAUUUGGUUUUUUGUAAUUGUAAUUAUUCAGGUUUCGGAUUUGAAUUUAUCAUUCAAAAUCCGGGGCGUGACAGUUUGGUAUCAGAGCGUAAGGUACAUAUUUGGUGAUAAUCAGUACCUCCCGAGUGAUGGCCCGUCUGCAGCGGAUCCCCAUCAUAUACUCUUCGGUACUGGUAAAAUCAUUGGGUAUGUCUUAGUAUGGGGUCUAGACAACGUGUAAGUCCGUAGGACGGUAGAGUUGUCUACUAAGUUCGUAUUAGAAUAAGUUUAGUUUCCGCGAGUUGUGAUCUUCGAGGAAUAGGAACCUCUGGAUUUAACUCUGAUGAGUCGGUGAGGUAGAGGUCGAGUCUGAUGUAGGGACAUGACCUUUCUAUGGAGACAGUUGAGGAUGAGGUGGAGGCAUUAGAGGUUGAGUUGCCUAGUCUACCUGUAGUUGAUGUGAUGGAUGUUAUUCUUGGGUUGAAAUGGUGAAAGAGAUUGAGACCCUAGGAAUAGUUGAAAAGAGAAUUGAUCUCACCAACUCAAGAUGAUAGGAGUGUGAGAGAUUAUGAGACAGAAUUCUCAAGACUAUAUUGGUGUUCGAGUGUAGUGAUGUAAUUUGGGAGAUACUUAUGUUACCUUUAAUAAGGGUAGUAUGUCAAGUGAUCAUGGCAUAGGUUGACUUUGUAAGUGAAGUGGUGGAGCUUGUGUAGCUUCUUUGAGUUAUCACCUUUGAGGAAUGGGAACCUUUGGAUUAAACUCUGGUGGAGUUAUUGAGGAUGGUUUUCACGAAAAACAGUAUCCUUAUGUGCAUUGUAGUCGUUGG